CCCAACAAAAAUCCCUAAUGAAGACACAUCUCUAAGAUCUUUCUCUGGGUUUUUGGCUAGCUUAGUGUUAGCACGCUUGGCAGAUGCUUACAAAGAACGAAACUUGUGUUAGCAGCAUAAUGCGGUCGUUUCUGUCCGGGAUGCAGUUUUCCACUCCAUCAUUUAUCUUGUCCUUUUGUGCAAUAAAAAUAAGUACCCAUAUCUCUAGACUACAUCGCUAUUUUCUGGGAACCGGUUUUCUACAAGAACCUGUUCUCAAUUCCCAUAUUCCCAUGCCUACCAACCACUAAACCACAACGUGCUUAAGGCACAUGAUAACUACCAGAAAUCCACUAUUCUCCCUCAGUCACCGCCUCGAGAGGUAUCGUUUUGGUCAAGCACAGCUGUAGAGGAAACAUGGUGGCUACCACUUUCCCUGAGCCACUGUAUUUACUUAAGGGAUUGAAUGAAGACUACUUUGUUCUGGUUCUGUGUCACUAACAUAUGAAGAUGGCAUUAUCCUUUUCCUUUCUCCUGUCGAGAGACUAUGGAGCAGGUGGAGUCAGCCAUGUUAGUCAGAAAUCCACUACCAAUAAGCAGACACACACACGCAGCUUCUCUUGGUGAAGGGCGGGGUAGGGUGAACAUCUACAGGGAAGACUAGAUUAGGGUUAUACAACCAGCUUAAAGCAGCUCUGCACUAGGACACCAAGGCAAGGAAAACCUCUUACCUUGAGCAAAGCAAAAGGAUGAGUAAAGGGACAAAUACAACACUAGACAUUGAGAUAUGGGGAUAAAAAUAAAGCCACAAAUCAACAAAGGGGAGUGGGACAUAGGCCCAGUGCAUUUGACAGGAAUAAGUAAAGUGUGUGUGUGUGUCUCCUGACCUUUUUCUUGGUGCAGGAUAGAGUGCGUUAGCUUUCUGCCUGCUGCAAGCAGUAUACGGGUCUAUUUAUAAAUCUCCAGUUCAAAUAGCAACCAGUCUGUUCACAAGCCAACAUGAUAAAAGAACAAACAAACCCAUGUGUGCACAUGAGCAAAUGCGCUGGAAAAAAUGAAGCAAUGGAAAUACAUUUUUACAAUUUAAAUGUUCAAUGGCAGCUGGGGUGCUUUUUGUGGCGAGAAUAACCUCAAAUAAGAUGCAUCCUACAGCAAUUCACACCAGGAAAAAGACUCAACCAGACCAGCAACCAGUGGUCUGAGACAACAUGCUGACCAGAAACACUUAGAGGCUUAAUCCCACCUUUAUUAACUCUCAGCUCACUAGUUUAAACUGGGCACACAGCCAGCAUCUAGACACCCUGCCAGAAGCUGCUUAAGCACCCUCUGGAACCAAUCAAAAACACAUAUAACAAUGAUAUCAUGAUUACCAAAACUCUUUCCCUUCUCCUUUCCCAGGAAAGUGACACAAAAAUAUUUUAAAGAGAGAGCGCUAUCCAAAAGAGAGAACAAAGUUAAACAAAACAAGACAGAGCAGAAAUACAGAGCCUUUACUGUGGAAUAGACCUGCUCCCUCCGGCAGCCACGGCACUCAAAGGGCAAGAUCCUUCCAGCAAACUGAGCUGUUUACUUCCCUCAGUCUUGGCUCAACCUUCCUACAUGGAAAGACCUCUGUCAACUCCGAAGCAUCUGCUUCAAAGCAGGUAUGCAGGGAAAAACAUUUAUAUCCUUAUAAGGCAGUGAAAUCCAAAUUAAUGACAAUAGACAUUGAACAUCACUGAUUGAGCUACUAGAACAAUAUUUUAUCUAUAUAUCCAUUUAUAAAUGUAUUUAUAUAUAAAUUACACAACUUUUCAUCAGGUUAUCCACGGUGUUGUUCAUGCGUGCCAACAUGUGCCCGGCUUUUGGUGUCCACACACGCUUGCAUAUACUCUGACAUAGCCUACCUACUCAUCUGUGUAAGGUAUGAAAGCACUUUGUGUUUUUCUGAAAUGCACGUCACCAUUUUCUUUGAGACAGCUGACACGGUUAUGAAACCAGCUAUGUUGCUGAGGCUAAAAUAUUUGCAAUGACUAAUGUUGGAUAAAUUCUCAAGAUAACUUAAUGUAACCAGAGAAUGUAUAAAAGAUGCCCGAAGCUUCCACAUGUAAAAAGUGGCUAAACCCUUUUCUUUUGAAUGGUCACCAGGGGGCGAUGACAGAGAUUGCAAAAUGACUCCCAGUGCUAUAGAAGUUUAUAGAAGAAACAAGGUUUCUAAUGGCUGAACUAUCCUUCAGCAGGAAAUCUACUUUAUAAUCUGGAACUUAAGUGGAAGCCCAUCUUAACCGUACGCUGUAACCUUCCACGUAAAAUCACAAGCACCUCCCGAGAAAUGCAACUGUACUUCAGGUCAGCGCCGUUCGCAACGACUGAUUGGUGUGGAAAUUUACAGCUUAAGGUUGAGAGGGGUUUCCAGAUACAUCAUAUGUCACAGCGUCCAUUUCGUGCUAAAGCAUAAUUCAGGCAUAACUAUACCUAUAUAAAAACUGUUCUAUAGCGCGUUUACAGGGAGGAGGAUUAACCUAGUGUAUGUUUGCUAAAUUAGCAGGUCAGUGUGCGGUUUCACAGACCCCCCCCCACCCCACCCCUCCCUCCUCUUCGUCAUAUCCAUUUUCAAAAGACAAGGAUAGCAACAGUAGAAACUUAUCUCCAGGCUUCAAAACACAACUUCAGAACUUAAUGGGUGAGGUCAUGGUGGCUACAGCCGACGUUUAUACUGUCAAAUUUAACAGAUGUAACAUUAGCAGGCAUCUUGGCAACCAUUCCAACAUUUGAGUCUGUGUUGUCAUGUUAAUAAAAAUAAAAAACCACCACCAUGUCAGUGGGUUUAAACUUAGUUGGUUCCAGUUACAAAUGAAGACUGGGGGAAACUGUGGUGGGGCCCCUUCACUGUUGUGUAAUACUUUCUGACUUUACAUCUAAAAGAUUUGUAGAUAAAUAUAAUAUAUGCACGGAUCUAAAUCCAAACCCUUUAAUGCUAAGUAAUUCUCUAAACUUGCAGUUUUUACUUAUUAAAAUAGUCUUUUCCCAAUGUACCCAAGUUUAUUUUUACUGAAAAACAAAAAACAAAACGUCAGCAUCACCAAGGUGUAUAAGCUUCGUUACUGCUGCUGUUCAGAACAUCAAGUACAGUUUGUUCCCAUUUGCUUCCAUCUGAGUAAGGCUUUUGUAGGGGCCCCUGGAGUUGGCAUCAACUUAACUGCUAUCACCUUACAGACAGAAAGUUAAGAGGGGAGGAGAGUUUAGGGACAAGAUACAGGAUUAGAAAGAACUGAAUAACACAAUGAAAACCAAUUUUUUUCAACGGUAAGGAGGAGAAACAAAAGGUAAGAAGUGAAAUUUGAGAGGCAGAGGCCUGUCACUGAGGCUAAUGGGCCAGGAAUGCAGCUGCAGCUUCUAACAUGUAUAAAAACUUCCUCAAUUCAGCGGCACAUGAAUCGAGCACAGUGAACACGUUUGCUGCUUCACAGACAGAGUCUAAUUAAACAAUGUGAAAGAGACAAUGAGGCCUUGAAUGGAGAAGAUCAGCAAAAUUAACCAAUUAAUGCAAUUACAUUUAAAAGUUUAAUUUAAAAGCCAAGGGACAUCUGAAUAUCUAAAAGCCUGCUUUUGUUCUUAAUUUUUUUUUUAAAAAGCAACACAUUGUAAUGAGUCUGAUGCUAUUUCGAAGUCUUCUGUUUAAUCCCAAAUCGUUAAACUGCAGAUGGGAUAGUAUAAAUCUAACAUGUAAAACAUUUAACUGGUUGUGAAAUUCUGGAAGACCUAAAUGUCAAGUCAUCGGCAAAGUUCUACAUUUUCUGACAUGUUAGAGACAAUCGAUUAUUAGCCUGAACACGUAGUUUUUUAGAUGACUGCUCUGCGUUUAAUUUGACUCUUGAGCGACUGUCAGCUCAACAUUUCUUUUAACUAAAGGCCCUCUUCAUGUGUCCUGCUGUUGCUAUGCAACUGCAAAUCUAUUUGAAGCAUGGUGCUUAGCUGCCAAAAGCGGACACAUUUUUUAAACAUCAUCUGCAUCCCAGUAAAGCACAACAGGCCCACAGAAAUAAAAGUUAAGAUAUUAAUAGUUGCACUAAGAGGAUGGCGGGAGAGAUACACACAGGUAGAUAUACAAUGCAGGAUGGAUUCAACUAUAUAGCUUCGUACAGUGUUUGUAACUUGAGAUGCUUGAAAGGCUUUAGCACACUUCAAUUCAAUACUUAAGCAAUUCUGCCAGUGUCUAUCAUAUAUCAUUAGCUCAUUUGACAUUUGCUUUUAUCAAGCAUGACAGACUAGAAGCUAUGCGAGCUGUGACAUCAUCUGCCACCUCACUGAUGGGCAUGCAUCUCUCUCCAACUGAUACUUUGCUUUGGAAGCAACAACCCCUUGAGACGCUGCAUCCCCAUGUGGGGACAUGACAUUUUUGGAUUUUCUGCGUCUUAUACAUUAUUAAGCAAUGCUGACCUUAUUGUGUUCGUCUCUAAAAUAAAGCCAUUGUCCCCCAUACGAGGACAUACUUUUAAGUUUCCAACAACUACGUACCAAAGCAAAGACUACCUACUUAAAGAUAUAUUAGUUUAUAUAUUUGUGUUCCAACCAAUCACAAAUAUGUAGUAGAGAUGAAAAUGCAAACCAAACAAGUGCUCGGGUCACGAGAGGUUAAGAUAUGAGCACAAGCCUCUUUCACUCUUAAGAAUUCGUAUUGCUGAAAAGAGUCGAUAGAGAUCAUUACUCCUGAGCUUUGAGUGGUGUUCAGUGUCCCAGGCAUGCUCUGCAUUAUCAGACAUAACCAGCUGAGAUUUGAUUACAGAACGAUAAUUUCAUUCAUCUUCUUGUUUAACAGUAGAUGUAACAUAAACACUACACUGUGCAUUAUUACAGACUGGAAAAUUAUUUUCCAUUUGAAAUCUGUGUUCAGGGAUCAUUUUCAGGUGAAACCCUCCCAGAUUUCCUGGAGCUCAAAACUCUUCUGUUAGGGAAGACCCUGUUGUCGUGGCAACAUUCUUCAAAACACUCCCAAUUCCUCUGGGCUUGUCCGAGCAAGAUGACGCCAGUGCUGGGAGCACAUGCCAGUGUCUCUCAACUCCCAACAGCCCUUGUUAGUAAAUAGCCUAGAGACCCAGCGAAUGCAAGCGAGUGAUCUGCAUCUUUCCUGCUUCAAUUCCUCCAUUCGGCGUAAGGUAAGCAUGACAGACGUGAGGUGAGGUGAGCAUGAGAAGGACUGAGCAAAUAAGUCGUGUUCGUCCAUCUCUCUUUCAAAACAACAUGUAGUGUGUGAGAUUGCCAUGUGCAGCAGGAGUGUGUGCAGAAGCAGAUAAGGACAGUCGUCACAAUCCACCACUAGUACUUCAACUUUGGGAGGAGUUUGGAGGGGCACCCACUCUCACCAAGUGCUUCAGCAGAUGGCUCUAGGUUCAACAACAAAAACAGCAGCAGCAGCAGCGGCAGCGCAUGGUGGGGGCCCUCCUGGAGAGCACACAUAGACCCUACAGACAGCAUCUGUUUAUGAAUGGGCCAACAAUUGCCCAUCCCCCCCGGCGGCUACAGCUGACAGAGGGAGGAGGCGCGACAAGUCACCGAAUCAGAAUAAGAGAUAAAGAAGAACAGGCAGUCAGAAGAAGAGGGGGGAAAGAAAAAGGCAAAAAAAAAGUUUCAACAAGAUGUUUUAUUAACAUAGCGAAGACAACACAGACUGCAUUCAAAGACUGACACAUUACCAUAGAAACAUUUCCUAUAUGUUGUUCAUUUUAUUUGACCAAUAGAACAUGAGGCAAGUGAGGAUUUAACAAAAAAAAAAAAAAGAAAAAAGAAAAAACAAAUAUCUUAUUUCUGACUUUAACAAAACUGCACAAACUGUAGCAUUUUGAGGUCUUCCACAACAACCACUGAGAAAAUACCCUCAUGUGUCAUAAAUUUCACCUCUUCCUUACUUCAGCAUGCUGACCACGUGCUUUCAGUUUUCAUCCUUUAAUGAGUCUGUUAAUGUAAAACUGUAAUAAAUCAGGACAGCUACACAAGAACCAUCCUCCCGUGUUAGAAAGUCACAGGUGUUGUUUUUGUCCUCGGUCCAUCUUUAUAAAGUUAAGCAUAUGCAAACUACAGCUGGAAUAUUCAAUGAUUUUAGGUGUUGCAAGAGUUCUUUUAAACUCUGUUUAACAAAGAAAUUACUGGAAGGCUGUGAAUAAGCCAGUCUGACACGUUCUGACUUGGAGGACUUCAUACGCUAUAAUAAAACCACAAUGUCAGGAUUCUUUUGAGUCUGAAAAGAUCAACAUUUACUUUGUUUUGUCCACAAAAUACACUUUAGAGCUAUUUUCAUUCUGUGCCACAAACAAUUUCAGACAGAAAAGGCUCUAAUUUUUACUGUAACGUACACGUCAGCCGACUGCUGAAGCAGGACUGCUCUCCCAAAAUAUCUGACCUCUAAAUAUGGUCUUUUUUUUUGUUUUUUUUUCCUUCAAGUGGAUAAGAUAAGCUGGAGAGCUCAUGCCAUUAAUAAGCACACACUUUUCGUUUUUUCCAUAUUGAGAAAAACAAAGGAAGGAAGCCAAGAGAUUAAAAGAGUAGCAGUCAGAUGAAAAGAUGUGCAAAACUGCAAUAGUUGUAAUUCGGUAACUAAAACAGAUACACGUUUUAUUUAACUACGGAAAUGUACACAAGACAGUGGAAGUGGGUUUUUACUACAUGUCCUUAUUCAACCUCCAUUACUUUUCGUGAAUUUCUCUGUUAACCAUAAGAGGAAGUGCUACAUUGAGUUGUUUUCAAAGGAUGAAAGCCACUUUUACUCCUGUAAGCGUCACAGUAAAGCACAAAUUUUGCUGCCACCCACUUGCCCUCACGGUGAACUCCUUCACGCCUGCUAUCAAAUAAAGCUGUAACACUAAAAAUAAUCAAACUAUAUCUGGGUUUCUGAGGAGGAAGAGAUCAAAAAUUGGAUUUUAGCUUUAGACUACUGCAUCCUGAGAUAUGGUAGUCGUCACACAGUGAAGCUGGAGCAGUGAAUAUUGACUGCAUGUGCAGCCUUAAACAGCAGAGAUGAAUCCGAGCACACACCCACUUCUCUGUCCCUUAAGAACAAAAGCCAGAAGGUGGUCGCGUGGCUAAUUUACAUGGACAUCAUUUGCAUCAAUUUGCAUUAGUAUGUUCUCACAGAGGCUCGACACUGGAGGCUCCCUGCAGGAAAACCAUCACUCAAUUAGGGAAUGAAAAUUAGCAAGUCCCCAUCACAAACAGGAGAACAGCAGAGGCUUUGUGAGCGGGACGGUGUGGCACUUCCAGCCGAGCUGAUUUAAAUCUGUAGUUUCAUGCAGUCAAAAUGAGGCCGGUUCAUUUCAGGUCAUGGUAACUUGAGAGGGAGGAAUAUGAUAUUAAAUCAAGCUGCUGGUAACGGGAGGGCGAGUUUCAGAUUUAAGGGUUGUUUUUCAUUUUAAUCAGGCAAAUAUAUAAGUUUAAAAUGAGAAAAAAUGAAUUCUUGCCUUUUUUGGCAAUAGGUGAAGUCAGUAAAACUGAUCAUUUCUAACUAAUAUAUUAAGUUAAGGCAUUUGGUUAGGAGGUUUUAAAAGCUCAAAGUGAGUCUAAAAAUACAAUGAGACCUGCGGUUUUAUAAAAACACUGUCCCGUUUCUAAUAACCUACAAUGCAAGUUAUACUAGUGUGACUCAAACUUCACUGAUGCAGCUCAACAGCUUGUUUAUGUAAAACUGGCUUUGUGUGGCUGCCACCCUGUCUGAGCCUGCACGCGUCAAAUUCAUGAAAUGCUCCGUUUCGGUCCUUUCGCUUCUCAUGACCAUCUACAGGUGUGGCUUUAUAGCUCAGAGGUCCAAUGGUCAACUACCUGAGCUUCCACCACUACAGCAACAAUGUAGCAAUGUUGCAACCUCAUGAGACUUUAUAGCUCUGCUGUAUUAAAUUCCAAACAUGGCAGUCUAAACUUAGCCAUUUCAGCAGUGAGUCAUUUUGAGCGCUCCUGCUUUAACACUUCUUAAACCUCUUGUGAAACUCUUUUAGACAACAGUGAAACAUAUUUAUAGAAUAAUUUGGAUAAGGGACCCAGACAGCCAAAAAUAAAGAGAAGCGAGACAGCAGAUCCAAAGGAAAUAACACUACUCACAACCAAUUACACAUUGUGUUAAGAUUACAAAUACAAAAAAAAAGGAUAAAUGCAGUGAGGUGGACUUAUAAAUAUCCCAGACUUGUAUGGGAUGUCUGUGUAUACAAACUCUCUCAGUCAAGUUAUGCUCAUACAUAACUAAGGGGCUUUAAAGUGAAAGUGCGUCACAGUCUUUGUUCUUUCCUUGAGGGAUGUAAUCCCCACCGGUGCCUCAAAAGUACCAACUGUUCAUACUCUUCCUUUUCUUUCUAGAAGGAAAAAAAAAUAUCAAACACCAUCUGUAAACUUGAGGCUAUCAUUCAGGACAUCGAAGCAAAACUGCCUUGACAAACACUCCACAGGUGUCAAGUUAAAAGUUGACACCGUUUUAAACACGCUUAACAGGAUCUUAGGUCCAUGUAGAUUCAUUCAAAUGAGUUUAUAUUUAAGUGGAUGAAUUAUUUCCACUUCCAUGCCUUCAGUAGCAGCCACUCCCACAUACACAGCUGGAAAAUAUGCUUCACUGCUGGGAAAAUGUGAAACAUCAUCAAUGAGCUUUAGCAACCAUCUCCAAACAAUCCACCUAACAAAGCUAUGAGACCAUUGUGGAGGGUGGAGAAUUUACAGUGUAAAUGUAAAACAAGAUGCCCCCAAACAAGACUUAAACCUAAAAAACAGAAAACAUGAAGCACGGCCACUGGGAUGCAUUGAUAACUAGUUGUGGUCCACAGCUCUAUUGUGUGUCUGCAUGUAGACCAGCACAAUGAGCUGCACAAACACCUCUCCACACACAAAACUCUGGACUCUGGCUUCUCGUUUAGCGAUUUUAAAACAGCAAAGCUUACUCAGCACAAUGUGGCCUAGACCAACCCAGACCCUCCAAUUCAAUUCAAACGGAACUGCAUGUGCUUGCAUAAGCAGGAGCUGCCCAUCCAGUGUCCCCCUGACCCACCCACGCACAACCCGCUAAUAUCCCACCACACAGAGGUACGACCUGCUGUCAUCCAAAGAGAAGUGCCUAGAAAGCCGACAAACCGGCACCCUUGCAUUUGUACACUGAAACGCUGCUUUCUAAAAAAAAAA